rnacentral:rRNA from 1 species
AUUGAACGCUGGCGGCAGGCCUAACACAUGCAAGUCGAACGAGUGGCGGACGGGUGAGUAAUGUCUGGGACUCUGCCUGAUGGAGGGGGAUCACUACUGGAAACUGUCGCUUAUACCGCAUACCCUCAGAUGUGCCCAGAUGGGAUUGGCUUGGUGGUGGGGUAACGGCUCAUCAAGGCGACGAUCCCUAGCUGGUCUGAGAGGAUGACCAGCCACACUGGAACUGAGACACGGCCCAGACUCCUACGGGAGGCAGCAGUGGGGAAUAUUGCACAAUGGGCGCAAGCCUGAUGCAGCCAUGCCGCGUGUAUGAAGAAGGCCUUAGGGUUGUAAAGUACUUGCAGCGGGGAGGCGUUACCCGCAGAAGAAGCACCGGCUAACUCCGUGCCAGCAGCCGCGGUAAUUC